rnacentral:misc_RNA from 1 species
UUUCCGUAGGUGAACCUGCGGAAGGAUCAUUAUUGAAUGAACUUGGUGAGGUUGUGCUGGCCCUCUCGGGGGCAUGUGCUCACUCGCCAUUCUCAUCUCUCCACCUGUGCACCUCUUGUAGACUUGGACUUGACUUUCCGAGGGAACUCGGUCGGGAGGACUGCUGGCAAUUCAGCUGGCUGUCCUUGCAUUUCCAAGCCUACGUUUUUCAUAUACCCCAUUGUAUGUAACAGAAUGUAUCAUUAGGCCCUUGUGCCUAUAAAACUUAUACAACUUUCAGCAACGGAUCUCUUGGCUCUC